rfam:Zea mays cultivar B73 chromosome 2, whole genome shotgun sequence.
ACGAGCCACAUGCAGAGAAACUUGCACGUGUGGUUCUGGCCGGGCUUUCCUUCGGUAUCUAAUAACCUUGCAGAAUCGGUAU